CAAUAGCGUAUAUUAAAGUUGUUGCAGUUAAAAAGCUCGUAGUUGGAUUUGUGGCGUACGGUGUGUUCCGGGCACUUGUUGUCUGAGUAACCUGCUGUUGCCAUCCUUGGGUGGAACCUGUGUGGCAUUAGGUUGUCGUGCGGGGGAUGCCCAUCAUUUACUGUGAAAAAAUUAGAGUGUUCAAAGCAGGCUUAUGCCGUUGAAUAUAUUAGCAUGGAAUAAUGAGAUAGGACUUUUUUGCUAUUUUGUUGGUUUGCGCAAAGAGGUAAUGAUUAAUGGGGACAGUUGGGGGUAUUCGUAUUCCAUUGUCAGAGGUGAAAUUCUUGGAUUUUUGGAAGACGAACUACUGCGAAAGCAUUUACCAAGGAUGUUUUCAUUAA
rnacentral:rRNA from 1 species